GACGUAGGGGGCAAGCGUUGUUCGGAAUUACUGGGCGUAAAGGGCUCGUAGGCGGCCAACUAAGUCGGAUGUGAAAUCCCCAGGCUUAACCUGGGAACUGCAUCCGAUACUGGAUGGCUUGAAUCCGGGAGAGGGAUGCGGAAUUCCAGGUGUAGCGGUGAAAUGCGUAAAUAUCAGGAGGAACACCGGUGGCGAAGGCGGAUCUCUGGGCCAUAACUGACGCUGAGGAGCGAAAGCAUGGGGAGCGAACAGG
rnacentral:rRNA from 1 species